rnacentral:lncRNA from 1 species
ACUGUACAGCACAGGCUCUUUAUAGUUGUGAUUACAUGCAAUUUUCAUGAACAUCACUUUAAAAAUAGUGAUACAGGGGGUGAGGUGGCUGCUGAUAAGGGUGAUUGUUGCUCAGCCUGAUGACCGGAGCUCAGUCUGGGAACCUAUGAGGUAGAAGAAGAGAACCGAGAGCCCCAAUUGUUCUCUGAUCUCCACAAGCACAGGGUACCACUCUGUCCAUCAAAAUAGGAAAGAAAUAUAAAUUAAAACAAUAAUGAUAUUUAGGUUCAGAAGGGUUGGAAAGAAUCGGCCAAGGUCAUAAUAGCAGAGCAAAAUUCAAAGGUAGGAUUGUCUGACUACAAUGUUCUCUAUAACAUACAUCAGCGGGGAAAAUAAACAUGGCCCUCUUUACGACUCCUUGUGUUAGCCUCUGCUCUGUCUGGUUUUUGUUUGUUUGUUUGUUUGUUUGUUUGUUUGUGCGGGGGUGGGGUGGUAGGGGAAAAGGAUUGGGCUUUUUUGUUGUUUUGCUUUGUUUUGUUUUUUUAAAACCCUCUACGAGGCUACCAUAGGCUGUUCUGUCUUCACAGAAUAUAUGUUCCUGAAGAUCAGUCAGGACCAGAUGAAGUGCCUUGCAGGAAUACAUCUGGUGUUCUUAUGGGAGCCAGGGAAGGUCUUUCUUCUAUGGAUGUGAAGGACAAGCAUAAUGUUCUAGGCCAGUGUUUUCCAACCUUCCUAAUGCUGUGACCCCUUAAUGCAGUUCCUCAUGUUGUGCUGACCCCAAACCAUAAACUUAUUUUUAUUCCUGCUUUAUAACGGAAAGUUUGCUGUUAUGAAUAGUAAAUAUCUGCUAUGCAUAUUAUCUCAGACAACCCCCUGAGAAAGGGUUCUUUAACCCAAAAAGGGGUCGUGGCCCACAGGUUGAGAACCAGUGUUCUAGAAACACCUAUCCCUGCCAACAUUAGUUUUUGUCCUUUAGGUCUCUUGCUCAGUGUAAACCACCUAUUUGCACUUAUCCUCCUAACAAGAGGUGACUUAUUUAAGGCUAGAGUACCACCUCUUUCCAGAGAACAUUUUUAUUAACACAUAUUAAGGGCACAUUUUAGUACACGAGGAAGUCUUGAAAACUCCUAUGGCGAUAAUGAACUCUGACUUGUGUAGAUCUUUAGCAUUUGAAUGGGGUUCAGUGGGCUGUUGCCUUAUACGAAUACAAUAUUCACCAUCAUAUCGAACUAUCCUUCUUAUACCCCACUACCUUCCCAAUCCCUAACAAUUACUGUUCUACUUACAAGUCUACAUUUUUUUUAGUUUCCACUUUAUAAGAGCAUGCUUUUGUAAAAAAAUAAAAUAAAGUAAAAUAAAAAAGUUUAAAAAAAGAGCAUGCUAUAUUUGAAGUCCUCCUGGUCUUGACUAGUUACACUUUGCACGGCAUCAUCGAGUUUCUUCCACCCUGAUGGAGAUGAUAGGGUUUGCUCUUUUUUUUUUUUUUUUGGUGGCAGAAUAAUACUUCAUAUACUAAUCUACACACCUCAUGUUCAUUAUCCAUUCAUUUGUUAAUGGGUAUUUACACUGAUUCUGUAAUAAUCAUUGUGGAUAAUGUGGCAACAAACUUGGACAAUUCAGAUGUCUCUUUGGUACGCCCGUUAAAUAUUGUCCAGGUAUAUACUCAGGAGCGGAAUAGCUGAGCCAUCUACUUUCUUUUUGACUUUUUUGAGGACCCUUAGUACUGAUACUUGUGGUGUCUGUGCUAAGCUGCAUUUCCAUAAACAGUAUAUAAUGGGUGUGUUGUCUCCACGUCCUUGCCAGCAUUGAGUUUUCCUUGUUCUGCGUAAAAUAAAUUGUUCUUAAUCUCCUUUGACCAUGUAAUUUUUAUUUUGUUUUCCAGUGUGAGUGAGUCCAUUGCUGAACUGUCUACCCGACUAAAUUCCCACAUCCUUGAGGACAGGUAGCAGAUCCAUCUUUAGCUCCAUAGUGAUUUGCCCAUGACUUAAAAGAUGAUCGAUAUGUGCUUUUUAACUGACCAAAGGACUGGCUGAGAAUUUCCCCAAAUGAACAGAUAGAUGCAGGGCUGAUUCAUACAAUGCCCACCCAUGAUCCCUAUCUUCAUUAGCCUAGCCAGGAAAGUCUUAGUUCCCAUAUGUUCAUUGGAUUAGGUUUAUAGAUGUGGGAGACAGAUCAUACGGUUUAGAUGACGAUUGUUCCAGGCAGCCUCCAAGCCCCUUCUCCAUCCUAUGCUUUGAAACUAAUGUCAGGAUGCCAGGCUCUCCUGGAGGGUUAUGUUGAGCCUUUGGAUUCAUAAAAGAAAGCUCAUCCCUGGCUCCCAUAGGAAUAGUGGAUAUGUUCCAGCAUGCAACUUCAUCUGGCUCUAGCUGGUAUUCGGGAACAUGUACUCUAUGAAGACAGAUAAUGAUGUUGGGAAUAAUUUUUUUGGAUACUUUUAAAACAUAAAGUCGCCAAGUCAUAGGUUUUCAGCAACUUUAUCUCAUGUUGUUACUAAUUUUUAUAUCAGCGUUUUGUGAUAUAGACCUUAUUGUUACCACUUUAGAGCUGAAGAAUGUGAGACAAUAUUCCUACCCUUCUCCCAGAUCACACAGCUACGUAAGCGGUGAAGGCAGAAUUCAGUUCUGGAUCUAUUUGUUCCCCAAAGUAUCUUAUUUGUUCCCCAAAGUAUCUUAAGGGAAAAAUUCACAAGAGAAACAUGACCUUUCUUCCCUGGGUAAAAUACAAGUAAUUGAACUUAUAAAGUGAUGUAUGAGACAUUUAAAGUAUGGUGCUUCUUAAUUACUGUUCACUUUUAACCCCCCAAAAUUAUUGACAUAAAUGGUAGAAGGAAUUUGUGGUACAAAAGUGCAAUGCCAUUAUCAACCACAGGUACAGAAUCUCCCACAUCUGAGCCCUUGUGACAGAAUACAGAUUGAGGGAUGCCAACAGAACAGCUUUCCUUACCUGAUAAUUUUAUAACUAAAGUAAAAGAGGCUCCAAGAGGUCAUUAAAUUUCUAAAGUCCUAUAAAAUGUUCAUAACAGAAUCAGAGCUUACAGUGUGGGUGUACACCAAACCACUUUCCUCCUACUAUGUCAGACUGCCUUUUGGAGUGAUGUACACAUCUUUAUAAAGAGCACGAACUGGAAUGUUACUGAAGGCAGGGUUAGAUGAAGUGAAAACCUUUUAUCUCACAACUUAUCCUCAUUAAGGCCAAGGUGAUUUAGAAGGGAGAGCUAUGGAAUAUUCCAGGCUCCUGUUGCUUUAGAGGUCUGAUUGACCCGGGCAGGAAGAGGUAGGGAAGGGGCCCCAUUUGUCUCCUGAGAUAUGGAAGUGACUGCCAGGUGCCCAGAAUUAAUUAUUCUACACAAAUGUAAAACAUGCCCUCCAGAAACUUCGGCCCUGGCAAGUUCUCAGCCAAAGGAUCCCUGUAGCAUGGGGCCUUCUACUCCCUUUCUUGUCCUUGAAGGUGAAGGAGACUGAGUCUUUAGGACAACAAGAAGUUCUGGGAGCAGGGGAGAUGGUCAUGGGUAGAACACAGAAGGGUGAGCCUCCUCAACC